rnacentral:rRNA from 1 species
UACGUAGGGUGCAAGCGUUAAUCGGAAUUACUGGGCGUAAAGCGUGCGCAGGCGGUGAUGUAAGACAGUUAUGAAAUCCCCGGGCUCAACCUGGGAACUGCAUCUGUGACUGCAUCGCUGGAGUGCGGCAGAGGGGGAUGGAAUUCCGCGUGUAGCAGUGAAAUGCGUAGAUAUCGGGAGGAACAUCAGUGGCGAAGGCGGCCUUCUGGUCCAGUACUGACACUCAAGUGCGAAAGCGUGGGGAGCAAACAGG